CUUCAUAACCAUCUACUUCGGAGGGCCCGUGACUACCAUGAGUCUGCCCUUCUCCUCUGGAAAUGCUAGCGUGAGCUCCAUGCCAAAGGGCAAGUGUGGAGAGAGUCAAUGAAUGAAAUAAAGGAAGGAGGCAAAGAAGGAGAAGUCAUGGGGAAAAAGCUAAAUAAAUGAAAGGAAAAUGAGACAAGUGAAGAAGAUGCUGUCUGCUCAGCAUUAUAUGAUGCCUACCAUGUAUAAGAUGCUAUUUCAGAUAUGACCUUGGAAGUGGAGAUGGACAUGGUCUUAGCUUUUGGGAAGGUUUACAGUCUAGAAGGAUGGGCCUCAAAGCAUGAUGAACUAUGAUAGAGCCAUGUCAGGCCCCAGAGAUGGCACCUGGCAGACUCCACAUUCGGAACUCCCAUUUCUGCACCGAAGCAAAGCAGCCGGGGGAACAGACAGUGACUGUGAAUGUGAGAUCAG